GAGCUGACACGCUGGAGGACGACUAGGAAUCAACCAACAAGGAUUCCUCAGCGUGUUUCUGGAGCGGAGGCGAGCUGGUAGGGGAGCCGUGAAUCUGGAGGAUGACCAUCACUCUACCAACAAGGAUUACGUUGGGGCCAGACUCGCGCUGUUUGUUCCAGACCAGGACUCUGGCUGAGGAGAGCUGAUGGAGGAGCUGACACGCUGGAGGACGACUAGGAAUCGACCAACAAGGAUUCCUCAACGUGUUUCUGGAGCGGAGGCGAGCUGGUAGGGGAGCCGUGAAUCUGGAGGAUGACCAUCACUCUACCAACAAGGAUUACCAGGAAUCUGGAGGACUGAUGGAGAAGCCGUACAUCUGGAAGGCAAAUCCUGAGGACAACCAGGACGCUACCAUCGAGGAUACCUCACACACUUGAGCUGAACCUCACCUGAUCCUGUUUGGUCGGGGGUAGACACACCUGAGCUGAACCUCACCUGAUCCUGUUUGGUCAGGGGCAGACACACCUGAGCUGAACCCGCCCUGAUCCUGACAUCCUGCUAGUCCCGUCUCCUCAGUUCAUCUGAGCCUCGUCCACCAGAAGACCUGCUGAGCUCAGCAGUCUGAGGCUGAUGGAUCAAUACCUCCAGUGGGAGUGAUCUUCUUGACCCCACAUGUAACCGUGUGCUUCCACACGCCUUUCCCUCACAUCUGUCACUAACCUCACUACUUCACUACUGCUUCCUCUUCUUCUUCCUUUUCUGUGGUUCGAACCUAUACACGGAAGGCGCGUCUUCCUGCCCUCAGAGGGUUCAGCGUUAGGGUUGAGAGUCAGGGUUUAGAGUCAGGGACAGAGCUGGUCAGGGAGGACUGCUUUUACUUUGACAUGCGUUAACCAACUACCGCUGUUUUCUUACUAGAACGUGUUUCUGGAGCGGAGGCGAGCUGGUAGGGGAGCCGUGAAUCUGGAGGAUGACCAUCACUCUACCAACAAGGAUUACCAGGAAUCUGGAGGACUGAUGGAGAAGCCGUACAUCUGGAAGGCAAAUCCUGAGGACAACCAGGACUCUACCAUCAAGGAUACCUCGUAAGUUUGCAUUAUCUGGACAUAGUGGACCAGACACACUUGAGCUGAACCUCACCUGAUCCUGUUUGGUCGGGGCCGACACACCUGAGCUGAACCCGCCCUGAUCCUGACAUCCUGCUAGUCCCGUCUCCUCAGUUCAUCUGCUCCUCGUCCUCCAGAAGACCUGCUGAGCUCAGCAGUCUGAGGCUGAUGGAUCAAUGACCUCCAGUGGGAGUGAUCUUCUUGACCCCACAUAACGUGUUUCUGGAGCGGAGGCGAGCUGGUAGGGGAGCCGUGAAUCUGGAGGAUGACAAUCACUCUACCAACAAUGAUUACCAGGACUCUGGCUGAGGAGCUGAUGGAGGAGCCAAGACUCUGGAGGACGACAUCACUCUACCAACCAGGAUCCUUACCAGGAAUCUGGAGGACUGAUGGAGAAGCCGUACAUCUGGAAGGCAAAUCCUGAGGACAACCAGGACUCUACCAUUAAGGAUUCCUCACACACCUGAGCUGAACCUCACCUGAUCCUGUUUGGUCGGGGGUAGACGCACCGGAGCUGAACCCGCCCUCAUCCUGACAUCCUGCUAGUCCCGUCUCCUCAGUUCAUCUGCGCCUCGUCCUCCAGAAGACCUGCUGAGCUCAGCGGUCUGAGGCUGAUGGAUCAA